rnacentral:rRNA from 1 species
AUUGAACGCUGGCGGCAUGCUUUACACAUGCAAGUCGAACGGCAGCGCGGGCUUCGGCCUGGCGGCGAGUGGCGAACGGGUGUGUAAUACAUCGGAACGUGCCCAGGAGUGGGGGAUAGCUCGGCGAAAGCCGGAUUAAUACCGCAUACGACCUGGGGGUGAAAGCGGGGGAUCUUCGGACCUCGCGCUUUUGGAGCGGCCGAUGGCAGAUUAGCUAGUUGGUGGGGUAAAGGCCUACCAAGGCGACGAUCUGUAGCUGGUCUGAGAGGACGACCAGCCACACUGGGACUGAGACACGGCCCAGACUCCUACGGGAGGCAGCAGUGGGGAAUUUUGGACAAUGGGCGAAAGCCUGAUCCAGCAAUGCCGCGUGUAUGAUGAAGGCCUUCGGGUUGUAAAGCACUUUUGGCGGGAACGAAAAGGACUGUGCUAAUACCACGGUUCGAUGACGGUACCCGAAGAAUAAGCACCGGCUAACUACGUG